UGCUCCCACCUCACUGGCCCCAGGGGCUGCUCCCGGCCCAGUUUCCAGCCCGGUUCCCUCCUGUGCCCGGCCACCUGCCUUUCACAGAGUCAAUAUUGACGCCUGAGAGGCCUCCCGCUCAGGCGAGUGAGGGCCGAGGGGGUGGAGGCGUGGGGAGAGGCAAACAGCUCCUGGAUUUUCAACUCAAUUGCUGCGAGGAGAGAUGAGAAAUUGCCUUUCUGACCCAAACCCGGAGUUCACAGCUGCACUUCAUUACCGAUUUCUCCAGGAGGCCCUGGGAGAGGCUGGGCUCCGGAAGGGCUCACCUGUUAGCAGCAGCUGCCGCCUGCCUCUUUCAUAAACACGUUGGUGGUUUCCUGCCCAGGGUUGCAGGGCCGGGGACGUGGGCGGCGUGGGGCGGGCUGCCAGCUGUGCCCCCGGAGCCCCCCCGCCAUCGCUCCUGCCAGUUUGCAUUAACUUGGCAGAUGGAGGGAGGAAGAGACGCCAGAUAAGUGUGCAGGAGGGAGAGGAAAUGGCCACAGGUCUGGGUCGGCUCUGCUCGCGUUAGAAGGGGCCAGAAGUCUCUACUGCUGCAUACCUGCGUGAUCCUGUAAGCCCAGAGCCCCACAGAGCCUCGGUGGCCUCAUCUGACCGGGUACUGGCAGCACAGAGAGGUUAGGACACCUGCCUGAAGACACACAGCGACCAGGUGUCGGUACAGGGAUGUGAAGUCAUCAGCCUGACCCCAUCAAGCUGCAAGGGGGGGCCCCAGCAGAAAUCCCACAAGUGCAGCAUGGCCGCAGGGGCCAAUGGGAGCAGGCCGGCCACCCACCGGGGCGUCCGUGGGGAGCUCUCUCGCGCCAGGGGAGGGCUGCUGCUGCUGGCGUGCUCCCCGAGAGGCCAGGCCUUGCAAGAGAAGCAGAAAUCUGUCGUUAACACCGUGCCAAACCCGAAGUGGCUGCUCCCAGACUGCAAUCCAAUAAAGCGCGGCUUGUCUGUUUAUCAUCCUCGGGGCUUUUCAUCGCAGUGCAGAUGGCUGCUACCUUCGGAAGGCUCAGCAGCUCGCUGCCAGCCGCCCGCCACGCAAAGCUUAGCUCAACAGAAUCUGGGCCUGCACCUGUGAGGGGCCUGGGGACCGGCUGCCCCCAGCCUUGCCGUGCACGGCCGCCAGCGAGCACACUCAGGCGGUCCAGCCCAUCUCUCCUGGGCCUCUCCCUGCCAUGCCCAGGGCCUGUUUCCUUUGCGGAGGGGGGUCGCCUGAACGGUGAGCAGCACGCCGGCCCCUGCCCUGUGCUAGCCCCAGUGGCGGCCACACCUGGUGUCAGACCCUACCCCAUGUGGCAGCUGCUGCUGAGAGGGGAGAACAAGCAGCAAGGGACCCCAUGGGGGGGUUCAGGUGCACGGCACCACAAUGCCCAGUGCCAGGCAGCUCAGAACACGGGGGCCCUGUGGGGUGCCACCAGCAAUUCAGGCUGGAAGGAAGAUACAACCAGGGAAGAUCAAGGGCAAGGCGUGCACAAGAGACAGCCCCGCUCCCCUGCCUGAGUGCGGUGGGAAACCCAAGGCAUGAAAAGCCUCACCUGCUGCGGAGCUGGCGGCACACCUGGGCCUCCUGUGACAAUGGUCAGCGAUGCCCAGCUGCUGCUCCCACGCUGGAAACACUCACUUGGAGGCAGGAGGUGGGGGAGGCACAGCCAGCGCCGCCGAAGGGGGCACGGGAGGGACACCGCAGGGUCAGCAAUGCCCAGCUUCUGCUCCCACGCUGGAAACACUCACUUGGAGGCAGGAGGGGGUGGCGAAGGGCAAGUUGGGGCCGGGACCCAGCACAGAGCUGGCACGAGAGGUCAGGCCUGUGCCAGGUGCUGGCUCCUACCCUGCCGGUCGGUCACAGGAGGCAGCUUUUCUAGCCACAUGGAGCCUGGCUGUAGCGUGUGCGUACAUAUGCAUGUGUGCACCAGUGUGUGGAGGGCUGGAGGAUUUACCCCAACUGGCCGGCAGAGGUCCUGGGGAUGGCUGCAACCAGCUACUGGGGCACGGCCAAGCUGGCAGGCCAUGACCUUUGCCCUCUGGACUAUAACGCAGGAAACGGAACACCCAAGAAGCCCCUGUUCAGGGUUCCCCAGGCUGUCCCAUGUCACCUCUCCAACUAAACCAGACUUGACAGCUCUCUAUGCCAGCGGCCUCCUGCGUCCUUCCUGCCAUCUCUCUCACCUCCCUGGACACGGCCCCUCACGGCCUUUCGAGACUCUGUCCCCUGGUCACCUUUGCUUAUGCCCUUCAGGCUGCCUAGAAAGCAACCCCAGGCUGGGCACGGUGGCUCACGCCUGUCAUCUCAACACUUUGGGAGGCUGAGGCAGGCGGAUCACGAGGUCAAGAGAUGGAGACCAUCCUGU